rnacentral:rRNA from 1 species
GCACAAGCGGUGGAGCAUGUGGUUUAAUUCGACGCAACGCGAAGAACCUUACCUGGGCUUGACAUGCGCGAGAAUGUCGUAGAAAUACGGCAGCCCUUCGGGGCUCGUGCACAGGUGGUGCAUGGCUGUCGUCAGCUCGUGUCGUGAGAUGUUGGGUUAAGUCCCGCAACGAGCGCAACCCCCGUCGCAUGUUGCCAGCAUUUAGUUGGGGACUCAUGCGAGACUGCCGGUGACAAACCGGAGGAAGGUGGGGAUGACGUCAAGUCAUCAUGCCCCUUAUGUCCAGGGCUACACACGUGCUACAUUGGCGCGUACAGAGGGUUGCAAGACCGCGAGGUGGAGCGAAUCCCUUAAAGCGCGUCUCGGUUCGGAUUGCAGGCUGAAACUCGCCUCCAUGAAGGCGGAGUUGCUAGCAAUCGCGGGUCAGCAAUGCUGCGGUGAAUACGUUCCCGGGC